rnacentral:misc_RNA from 1 species
AAUUCUCAACCCCUCCAAUUUUCUUUUUGUUGGGGCUUGGAUAUGGAGGUGCUGUCAGCCUUUUAUAGGUUGGCUCCUCUGAAAUACAUUAGCGGAAUUGUUUGCGAUCCGUAACAGGUGUGAUAAUUAUCUACACCAGUGGGUUGCUUUGACUUAUUCAGCUGCAAACUGUCUACAAAGACAAUUGAAAACUGAUU